rnacentral:misc_RNA from 1 species
CCCAAACCCCCCCCCCCCUCCCCCCCCCCAAAACCCCCUUUAAAACACAACCCAACCUGCCGCUAUUCCUGCCACUACAAUACUAACCACCACUGCUCCUUCCCUUGCAGACUCAGCACAAACCUACCACAUCUACUACGGCACCGCAGCCAGCGCGGCCAACUACGGUGGAUACGGCGGUAACUCCGACAAGAAAGCCUCAGCUGAGUACGUCUACGAUGUCCCUGAUGGGUGGAAAGAACGCCUAGUCUCCAAAGUUGAAAAGGGCACGAAUGGAACUGAUAGCGAGUUCUACAACCCAAAGAAGAGGACUGAAAAAGAGUACUUGACGUUUCUUGCAGGAUUCAGGCAACUAGCCCCACAAGAUGUGGUGUUAAAUAAUUUGGCCUUGUCUGAUGUGGGUUUGCAAGACUUGAUAU